AGUAACUAGAACACAAAUGCGAAAACGAAACCGAUUCUGUUCGGUUCUCCGCGCUCAGAGUGCGGCACCAGGGGGCAGCGCGUGCUGCGCGUCCGUUGGAGUGGCAGACGGAGCUGCACAUGUGUAGUCAGCCGGCAUUUUUCGAGUCGUGUUGUAAAUGUUGGUAAUUCGCCGUAAAUAUCUCUUGAUUCGUGCUCAAGAGUGGAGCAAGACCGCAAGGAAGAGAGUUUGAUGCAUCGGGAGCGAAGAACAGAAACGAUGGAUGGUUACGCUGCUUGGGUCUCGGCACGUUCGAAUUGGCAAAGUUCCGAAUUUGUCGCUGUGUUGUGUACGCUUGUGCGCUCGUCAUUUGCCGUCAUCGCGCGGAGAUAUUUGCGCUGGAUGUCUUUCACUUCGUGUACAAAACUCUGCACGCUGCGGCAUCGAAGAAGUUUUCCUGUGUUUGGGUGCACGUAUGCGCUUGGACACGGAUAGCCUGCUUGCUCUCAACGGGUGUUCAACAGUCCACGCGCGCUCGUAACUUGCUCAUGAGGCAAGUUGCUGUUGUGCUGGAGCUGAGAAGAGGUCUGCUGCCUGCAAUGGGUCCAUCUCUCCCAAGUUAUUGCAGUAUUGUAGCUCUCAAGGUUCAAAAAAAGUAUGGUGGAAGCUGUUGCCAAGGUUCCGACCAGAAAAGACAGCCAGUAUAAAAGGGUCCACGCCACUGAUCUCUACUACAGGGGAUGAACAGCACAUCGAGCGCCCUCGACUGAAGCCGGCCUUGUCCCGGAAGUUGGUGCUUCACAACUUUGCGGCAGCACUUUGUUGCACGGCCUGUGGAGACAAGGUUUCUUAGACAUGGCCAUGGCUCUCAAGGAAGAUGCCGAGGCCACAGGCAGUUCCUCCAGUGACCGUGAAAAGGUCCCCUGGGGCACAAGUCUGGUUUGGCACCCUGACCUUUCUCCUGCAGCUUUUCUGACUACUUAGUUAACCAGCAGCAAGUUUAUCCUUGCAAGCGUUUGGAGUCGAGAAUAACUUUCACCAGGAAGAAGUGCAAGACGAGUGAUUGAAGAAAAUAAAGUUGCUUCUGUGAUCUAAGAACUUGAGGACUGAAAUGUUGCACCUUUUUGUAUAUAUGCUAUGCAGUGCAUUCAUAUCACAAAGUGCAAAGUGUUUUAUCUCUGCAGCCAUGUCAGUGUGUUGGCAAGACAAUUUUCUCAAUGGUGACCUGCUGCU